AGCUCCAAUAGCGUAUAGUUGCGGUUAAAAAGUUUGUAGUUGGAUUUCUGCCGAGGACGACCGGUCCGCCCUUUUUCUUGGAGAGUGUAUAUGCACUUGACUGUGUGGUGCAAUAUUCAGGAAUUUUGCUUUGAGGUAAUUAGAGUGUUUCAGGCAGGCACACGCCUUGAAUACAUUAGCAUGGAAUAACAAGAUAGGACCUUGGUUCUAUUUUGUUGGUUUCUAGGGCUGAGGUAAUGAUUAAUAGGGAUAGUUGGGGGCAUUUUCA
rnacentral:rRNA from 1 species